rnacentral:tRNA from 1 species
GUGGCUCAGUGGUUAAAGCCCUUGGCUGCUAACCAAGAGGUCGUUGGUUCAAACUUACC